UACGUAGGAUGCGAGCGUUGUCCGGAAUCACUGGGUGUAAAGGGAGCGCAGGCGGGUCGGUAAGUCAGUGGUGAAAUUCUCAGGCUCAACCUGGGGACUGCCACUGAAACUACUGAUCUUGAGUACAGAAGAGGUGGAUGGAAUUCUUGGUGUAGCGGUGAAAUGCGUAGAUAUCAAGAAGAACACCGAUGGCGAAGGCAGUUCACUGGUCUGUUACUGACGCUCAUGCUCGAAAGCGUGGGGAGCAAACAGGAUUAGAUACCCCGUGU
rnacentral:rRNA from 1 species